GACGAACGCUGGCGGCGUGCUUAACACAUGCAAGUCGAACGGAGCACCCCUGAAGGAGUUUUCGGACAACGGAUGGGAAUGCUUAGUGGCGGACUGGUGAGUAACGCGUGAGGAACCUGCCUUCCAGAGGGGGACAACAGUUGGAAACGACUGCUAAUACCGCAUGAUGCGUUGGAGUCGCAUGACUCCGACGUCAAAGAUUUAUCGCUGGAAGAUGGCCUCGCGUCUGAGUAGCUAGUUGGUGAGGUAACGGCCCACCAAGGCGACGAUCAGUAGCCGGACUGAGAGGUUGGCCGGCCACAUUGGGACUGAGAUACGGCCCAG
rnacentral:rRNA from 1 species